GUCUCGCUGUGAGAGAUGAUAACAUGAGUUAAGGUCUUGAAGUGUGGUAUCACAGUUCGAUGGUUCUGAAUAAAGUGUGAGCGCAUAAGGCACGAAGCUGUCCGCUAUAAAAGCUGGCAUACAAACAACAUUCUUCAGAAUUUUCUUCCUUCAGCAAUUCAUCUCUCGUCUAGAAGCCAUCUACUGCUUGACCGUCGACUACACAAUUCUUCACGGGAUCUUCAUGGCAACAAUAAGACUCUCCGCACCCAUGUAGUAUUCUAGCGAACAUCACUCCGCCUCGCCGCUUGAUGAUUCUUUGGUGAAUGGACCGUUUCAGCAUCCUGAUUUCCAAAAGGGUCUGAUGCUGGUAGAUGCAAGUUCUGGCUUUCAAAUGGAGACUUUUGAGUUCCUAAACAUUUGACAAGGUCAUGGCUUUCCUCGCAUCAUGGGGGUCCUCGCAUAUCUGGACUCUUUCAAGAACAACAAGGUGCUUCGAAAAACAAAGAAAUGUGUCAAACAUCAGUUCUGGACUGAGGUUUACCAGGGGGCCAAGCUGUUUUACCUGUCUGGAAUGGUUUAUGGAGAGUACCAGACUCGGGAAGUGAAAACCUUGGACGAUUCAGCGAUUAAGUUUACGCCUCUUUUCUGGCAGACUUCUCACCCUUAUGUGGUGGCUGACCGCCUCCCAUUCAGCUGAUGAAAACAUGCUGCAUGAUCAUGAGGACGGAUUACAUCAAGAUGUAGACUGGAAUGCAGGUACAGGGAACUUUUCUCCCAGACCGUUGCCCUCUACCAGAGAUGCUUAAGAAGAGAGCGUAGAAUGAAAAAGAACAGUUAAUGUAUGCUCCCAUGGCUGGCGUAGGGGGGGAGUGGUGUAUCGUAAGGAUGCUGUCUACAUCGAUUUGCCCGGUGGCCUUGCCAAUCAGUAGCAGGAGGAGGCGUGGCCCACAAUUGAACUUGUUCAGUCUCUUAUUGGAACUCGGGCCACUUUGGAUCCAAAAAUGGCUGCCAGCAAAGUAUCACUGUUCACAGGCACUGCUGCAUUGACAUCAGAGGAUGUGCUGGAAAAUGGAUAAACUCUUUGGAGAUUUGGAAGAUUUGGAAACUGGAGAAGUUUACAAAGCAAAGACUGGAAAUAAAGACCAUACUGAGGCAGGGAGUGAAGAUGAUGAGGAAAUGGAGGAUGCUCCCCAUGUGAAAGUGAAUGAUGAUAAAGCCCAGAAGAACAAGUGGUUAGAGAAGAACAGGCAGCUAAAGGAGAGGUUCAAUGCAGAUUACAAUGAUAAAGACGCCACAUACUUUGAUGACCUGAAGGAGGAGCUGCAGAAACAGGCUGAGGUAAGAGUUUGAAGAACGGAUGAUGAAGUUCGGGUUCAGUACUAGGGCUUUAGGCCUGCGUGUGGAAAUCCCUGCUUUAACUUGUGAGUUCGUCACCAACUUUGACCCCCACUAUCCCAUUAUUCUCGGCUGUUUGGGAGCGAGCAAGGGCAAUGUAUGCUACUUGCAGAUGCUUUUGAAAAAACAUUGUUGGCACACUCAAAUCCUGAAAAUACGGGACCCUCUCAUUCUAUCUUUGGGGUGGAGGUGUUUUCAAACCUUCUCCCUCUACUAUAUCCAGGACCAUAAUGGACGUCUUCGCCCGCUCAAGCACACCCGAACACAUGCACUGAUGUGCCACCAUCUAGGGUGAGAGACUAACCACACAAACAGCCCUCCCACAUGCUAGAGCAGGUGUGGGGAACAUCAGGCCUCAGACCUUCAUUGCUUCAUUUUCUCAGAAACUGUAAGCAUUGUUUUUCUGUGGCACUUAGAAAUUGCUUUGUGUUUUGAGCAACCUAGACCCGCCCCCAACAGCAUUUCUCAAACCAACUCAACCCUAAAAAUUAUGUAUUAUUUGAGCUGCAAAGUUGUUUAAAUUGUCAUUUUUACAGAAGUUUUAACAGAAGAAUUAAUGUGUGAUUUUAUAAAAUUAUAAGCUUCACAUUUCUGUGUUUAAAGCCUCCAGAAAUUGGCCCCAUUCACUUCCAUUGUAAGUAUCUCACCAUAAUCUUGAUUUGUUUUAUUAGAUUUUUUAUAAAGAAAAGGAGGGACAAGUUGAAAUUAAUUUUAGUGGUAAUCAACAUUUUGCCACAAAUGCUGUUGAUUGAGCUUAAAUUUGAAUGAACCCUGAACAUCCCUUUAAUUGUGCAAUACAGUUGAGAAAGUCAAGAUCUUUGAGUUGGAAUGUGGCAAAGAUCACAAUUGUAAGGGCAUUUAAUGUAUUUAAAAGUAGCUACUUUUCAUGCGUUUAAAUCUAUGUAAAAAAAAAAAAGUGAUCAAUGAUAUCUAAUAAUUCUCACAAAAAAGAAAUAGGAUUUGUGCCUUUAAUGCUUAAAGAAAGUAAUGACAGAGCAAAGUGUAUUGUUUUCAUGGAAAGUGCCAAUUGCUGUGUUCAAGUCACAUUAAUUUAUUGUUUCUGUCUAUCACUACUUUUUUCCCUCAUCUAGUGCACACUCAACUCAAUUUUUUAUUGUUCUACGGCACCUAUAACACCCCAGGGUACAGGCUUCUUGGCUGUGCAGACUGUCUCAGGUGUGCAGGUAAGUUACCAGCAUAUGAUGAGAGCAGAGGAGCGACCUUGGUCAGAACUUCCAUCCGAGUUCCAAUCCACAUAACUACAGUUGGAUGAAAGGCUUCCUAUUUCUCUUUCUCUGUUAUUUCCCCUCAUGCCAAUUUUCGCAUUACAGCCACAAGGGUGAUUCUGGACAUGGACAAAUCAGUUUCUUUUGUAAAGAAGCUCAAACUGAUUGGAUACCCUUAUAAAAUCUUUAAAAACACCAGCUUUAUCCAGGUAGGGAAUCCUGCAGACCAAGGUUAUUAUCGUAAAAUAAAACUAAAACUACAUUUAAAAAAUCCUUUACGUAAACUGAAAUAAAAAUAAAAAUCAACAUAAUUAGAACAACUGAAACUUAACAAAUACAUUUUCAUUGCUCUGAAAUAACUAAAUUAAAAAUAAUCAUAAUUUUUUUUUUUUGCGACAGGUUUUUAAAUCUUUAAACCCGCUAUUACUUUAACAUGAAGAUACCACUAGGCGGCAAUAGCACUAGCAGAUGGCUUUAGAACUCAUUAUAUUAGCAAAGACAAGAGUGGGAAGGAAUGACUACAGUACAACAUGGAGAGAAGGGGUUGAAAAGUAGGUAGAAAACUAGGGUGACCAGAAGACGAUCCCGGUUUUACGAGAUGUGUCCCGUCAUUUCUCUAAAAUAUUUAAUGUCCCGGUUUCAGCUAUUAGGCUCACUGAUUUUAAAUUAAAUAACAUUAAUGUCCUUAUAGAUAUUGUGUCUGGUAUCGAAUGCAGGGAAGGGAAGAUAUUUUAUUGCAUUGCAUGAUUUGACGAUACUUUCAUUCUAUCAAUCUGCAGCAAUCUGCUCUGAAUCUAUCUGGUUACCAUGACAACAUCUCACGCACUUGGCGCUCUCUGCUGCUAUCAUCAUCCAAUGCAAAUUAAAAAUGCCCAAUGAAAAUGCAUGUUCAACAAGCGGAAAGAAGCCAAUCCAUUUCUUUGCAAAACACGUGACAAUGGAAUUGAAAUGUUUUGCUGUCAAUGUAAAUGUUCACUUUCCCAUGGCCACAGUGUUAAAUAAGAGAUUGCAGGUCAUAUUCAUACAGCUGCAUUUAAAAAAUAAAAUUAAAAAUAGUUCAAGCACUUAUAUGUGGAAUUGUAUUUUAACUUAAGUUCUAAUGUUGCAAUGUUUUUGUAAAAAUGUGUAGCUUACAAGAAAUUUCAAGCACUGACAAAUCUUAUUAUUAUUACACAAUGUCACGUGUCAUAGUAUGACAUCAUAUGGAUAGAAUAGGCUAUAUGGAAUUAUUAACUAAAAUGUAAAAACUAAACUAAAAAAUAACAAAGAAAUGAAAAUUUUAAAAUGAAAUAGAACUAAAAAUUAAAUUAACUCUCUGAAUAAUUGGAUCCGCUCAGCCUUUGUUUUAACUCUCUAUCUUUGUCUGACUCUAAAGGAAUUUUUAACACCGUCCAGGAGGUAGCAAAGUUUGAGGGCGCGUCCAUCCGCACAGUCAGUAGUAUUAAAGGACAGAUAAAGAAAGCCUUGUGCAUGCCGCUGGGCGCCUACAGAGCCACGUUUGAGGACAGACUGCUGAUGAAUGAUAUCAUGUUCCUGCGUUCCUGGUAUCCCAUCUCGGUUCCUCAGCUUUAUAAUCCAGUGACAUCACUGCUAAUGUAGGUUGGACAGAAGAAAACAUGGGCAGGUAUGAGGACACUUGGACAGCUUAAGGAUGACUUGGAAAUCCACAACAAACCCAACCAGGACUCACUGUACAAGUGUCAAUAACAAUGGUUGGAUGAAUAAAGCUUGCGACGGACAUGCAACCUGUCAAUGGAUCUGCUCUGCUCUUCUGUGGAAAUAUCGCCAAGCAAAUCAACUUUGUCUGUCUUCUUCUGAAAUAUGCCACAAAAACACAGAAAACUGUCUCUGCAUCACGGCAGUUAUUGCAUUUGCCACUACUGUUUGCCACUUUUCCGGUUUCCCUCAGACGGAGAACGUAAACAGCAUGUGAAAGUUUCAGCGACUGUACAAAGCGCAUGAAUAUUUAAUGAGGUGGCAGCAUUGCUCAGUGCUUUAAGCUCAGUCUACGCAUACAAGAACAUGGCGGCUCAUGCAGAAAAUCAUGCCAAUCUCAAAGAAUUCCUGAAGUAGAUGAGAGGCAGAGGAGCAGAAUAGGCAGAAGGAAGAGAGACAGAAGAUAUACCUUGUCAUGGGACUGAAAGAAAAGAAGAAAUUUAAAUCAAGCCUGAAAGGAGCAUCCAAGGGUUUUUGAGCCCACCUUAUCUCCUACCUGAUUCUGAGAGACUAUGGCCCCAGGCUCAUUGGAUCUGGUUCUGUUACAUUCUUUGUUAGAAUGUCUGAAAUGUACCACAAACUCAAUCCUCACACCAGCUGGGCUGAUGAUGUUGCAUGACACUUGAAAACUCCUUAAAAGAUACAAUUUAUUUCUAUUUACCAGGCACAUGAAAUGGCUUGUAUGUGUUUUAACAUUGUUUUCUAUAAAAAUCUUCUAAAGCAGUGGUACUCAACUGGUGGAGGUUUGCUCUGAUAAGGUCGCAAACAAUUAUAAAAAACAAGUAUGAAAUGAAGUAAUGCUUCCCAUAUCUUUUGUUGAUGUCAUGGGCUGUGUGUCCAGUUAAACUCUGCAGUAUUACAAUGUAAAUUUGGCAUAUGUGCCAAAAAAAGCAGAUGCCAACAUGGGACCGGUUGUGUGACAUGCCCUCAUUCUCGGAAAAUGUGAGCAAAACUACACUCCGCAAAAUAACCCACAAAGAUUUGUCUCAAACCCUGAUUUGAAGCAACAACCCUGUUCUUAUUUUGGAGUUAGAGUGUAUUUUUAUGCUGCUGUGAGCAAUUAACUCCAUCCAUUGACUGUUGCUGAGCUGACUUACAGAAUUGCAUUUUUGUACACAAAGCUGAAGCCAAGUUGAUGAUUAGCCUAUGAAUAGUGACUGCGCUGUGAUAUGUCAGUAUCAGGGAUUGUAUAGACAGAUAAUAUUGGGAGUAUCUUUAUAUGCUUGAUCGAGAUUUAUUGAUGUUCUUGAUUAAACAAGUGACAUGUUUUGGUUUCUUGGAAGUAAGAAGUCUUCAAGGAUGCUGUGAUUGUCCUGCACAACCACAUUUGGAUCUAAAUGACUAAUAAGUGUCUGGCACAAAAUUAUCUCCAGUCUUCAGCAAUUAACAAAAUGUUUUCAUUCUUGAUGUGUUUUUCUCAACUGGCAGUUUAGAGCAGUUUCUUGGAAGAGCUGCCAACUUUCUGCAACUAAAUCGUAAUUAAAUGGUGUUAAAUGGGGACAAGCACCAUAGUUUUUAGCCCCUUUUGCUUUGAUUUGUUCUUUUCUUAUUAUUAUUGCACUUUUGACUCCGAUUCUAUGGCAACAAAUAAAACUGUUUGGACAAAUAUUGUGAAAUUUGGCACUUGGAUUUUGGUGGCUCCUUGUCCAACUCUAAUAGCCUUAAAGUCAUGUAAUGUACCUGUCCCCUUAAGAUUGCUUGUGUCCACAGAAACACAUUUUUGGAUGUUCGGCCCUGUUUGCUCCCUUAAUUUGCGUGAAAUUUGUCUCCUCAAGACGUUCUUCAGACAAUUUUGCUGUAGCAGCAAGAUUAUU